rnacentral:tRNA from 1 species
GUCUGGAUAGCUCAGUGGUCUAGAGCAGUUGCCUGGAAAGCGAAAGACUCGGGUUCGAUUCCCGAUUCAGCCA